rnacentral:tRNA from 5 species
GCGCCCGUAGCUCAGUGGAUAGAGUACUGGCCUCCGAAGCCAGGGGUCGCUGGUUCGAUCCCAGCCGGGCGCGCCA